rnacentral:rRNA from 1 species
GACGAACGCUGGCGGCGUGCUUAACACAUGCAAGUCGAACGCUGAAGCUCAGCUUUUGUUGGGUGGAUGAGUGGCGAACGGGUGAGUAACACGUGAGUAACCUGCCCCCUUCUUUGGGAUAACGCCCGGAAACGGGUGCUAAUACUGGAUAUUCACUGGUCUUCGCAUGGGGGUUGGUGGAAAGGGUUUUUCUGGUGGGGGAUGGGCUUGCGGCCUAUCAGCUUGUUGGUGGGGUGAUGGCCUACCAAGGCUUUGACGGGUAGCCGGCCUGAGAGGGUGACCGGUCACAUUGGGACUGAGAUACGGCCCAGACUCCUACGGGAGGCAGCAGUGGGGAAUAUUGCACAAUGGGCGCAAGCCUGAUGCAGCGACGCCGUGUGAGGGAUGGAGGCCUUCGGGUUGUGAACCUCUUUCGCUCAUGGUCAAGCCGCAACAAUGGUUGUGGUGAGGGUAGUGGGUAAAGAAGCGCCGGCUAACUACGUG